UGGGAGAGGAAGGUAGAAUCCAGGUGUAGCGGUGAAAUGCGUAGAGAUCGUGGAGGAAUACCGAUGGCGAAGGCAGCCUUCUGGCCUAACACUGACGCUGAGGUGCGAAAGCAUGGGGAGCAAACAGGAUUAGAUACCCUGGUAGUCCAUGCUGUAAACGAUGUCAACUAGCCGUUGGGGUCUUUAAGGCUUUAGUGGCGUAGCUAACGCGAUAAGUUGACCGCCUGGGGAGUACGGUCGCAAGACUAAAACUCAAAUGAAUUGACGGGGGCCCGCACAAGCGGUGGAGCAUGUGGUUUAAUUCGAUGCAACGCGAAGAACCUUACCUGGCCUUGACAUGUCUGGAAUCUUGUAGAGAUACGAGAGUGCCUUCGGGAAUCAGAACACAGGUGCUGCAUGGCUGUCGUCAGCUCGUGUCGUGAGAUGUUGGGUUAAGUCCCGCAACGAGCGC
rnacentral:rRNA from 1 species